rnacentral:rRNA from 1 species
UACGUAGGGUGCGAGCGUUAAUCGGAAUUACUGGGCGUAAAGCGUGCGUAGGUGGUUCGUUGUGUCUGUGGUGAAAGCCCCGGGCUUAACCUGGGAAUGGCAUUUGGGACUGCAAGGCUGGAGUUUGGCAGAGGAGACUGGAAUUCCUGGUGUAGCAGUGAAAUGCGUAGAUAUCAGGAGGAAUACCGAUGGCGAAGGCAGGUCUCUGGGCUAUAACUGACGCUCAUGCACGAAAGCGUGGGGAGCAAACAGG